GCAAGUCGAACGGUAACAUUUCUAGCUUGCUAGAAGAUGACGAGUGGCGGACGGGUGAGUAAUGCUUGGGAACUUGCCUUUGCGAGGGGGAUAACAGUUGGAAACGACUGCUAAUACCGCAUAAUGUCUUCGGACCAAACGGGGCUUCGGCUCCGGCGCAAAGAGAGGCCCAAGUGAGAUUAGCUAGUUGGUAAGGUAACGGCUUACCAAGGCGACGAUCUCUAGCUGUUCAGAGAGGAAGAUCAGCCACACUGGGACUGAGACACGGCCCAGACUCCUACGGGAGGCAGCAGUGGGGAAUAUUGCACAAUGGGGGAAACCCUGAUGCAGCCAUGCCGCGUGUGUGAAGAAGGCCUUCGGGUUGUAAAGCACUUUCAGUUGUGAGGAAAAGUUAGUAGUUAAUACCUGCUAGCCGUGACGUUNACAACAGAAGAAGCACCGGCUAACUCCGUGCCAGCAGCCGCGGUAAUACGGAGGGUGCGAGCGUUAAUCGGAA
rnacentral:rRNA from 1 species